ensembl:lncRNA
UGUGACCUUAUUUUCCCAUCAGGAUUGCUCUGAACUCACAUAGUUUCUGUAUGGAACACUCAAGUUUUCUAGUCUAGCUGCUGGAGACAGCAAUAUGUAGAUCUGAUGUUUGGAUACACCAAGCUCCAUAUGAGUCCAGCAGGGACAACUGGCCCCCAUGUGGAGGGCUGCGUUUGUCACAUGAAGCUGGUUAACUUGAGUGGAAGCAACCAUCCUGGCACAAAUUACUUGGCUGGAGAAGAGACAAAAUCAGAAUGAUUAUGGAAUGACAGGUGACCUGAAGCUGGAAGGGAACUCAGGAGUCUGUUUCAACCACCUGCUCAAAACAAAGCUGAUCUUGAAAUUAAUUUCUGCUUCAAAGUCAGAUCAGAUCGAGAAAUGGGAAAUCCUCUCUGCAGCUGUUCUUCUGUAAGAUAAUGCAGGUCCUAUCAAUCCAGUCCCAAGUAAUUAUUUAUAACGGAUUUCUGCAAAGGUCAGUUUUUCUCCCUUUACUAUAAGAUAUUUUAGCCUGGUUAGUAGCCAAGAAUAAAAUACAGCUAUCAAAUUUUAUAGAUGUCAUGAAGCUUAGGGGAAUCUAAAUAAGAAGAAUGGCAAAGUUGACAUGGAGCCACAUGCAUCAUUUUGUUAACUGUGUUCAGAAAGUAGUGUGUAUUUCAAUAACGUCUGAUUCUACAUAUACCUUAGAACAAAAAAGGCAGAUCAUUCACCCAUCAGAGACCGACUUCAUCUUACAAAUUAACAUAUAGAGUGGAUUGAUAC